CCCAAGCCUGUAGGCAUUCAUGGCCGGGCUGGAUGUGGCUCUGGGCAGCCUGGUCUGGUGGUUGGCGGCCCUGCACAUAGCAGGGGAGUUGAAACUCGAUGAUCAUUGUGGUCCUUUUCAACUCAGGCCAUUCUGUGAUUCUAUGAUUCUAUAUUGAGUGUAGUAUUUCAAAGCGUGUUCUUGUUAAUUUGUUCCUUUUACUGCACAAUCCUGUGUGCUAUUUCAUAUCUUUAGAAUUGUGGUAAUGUAAUGUACAUCUCCUGUGUCCUUGCAGCCCCAGGGGAACAUACUUUCCCCUCCAGACGAUCGGCUAACAGCUUAAUUGCCACAAUCGGGAGGAAAUAGCAGACUUAUUUCAGAUACACACUUCAGAUAACAAUAUACAGACUCCCUUGUGCAACAGUUACAAGGAAAGCAGCAGAUGUAAGAAAAUGAAGACACCCAAGAACAGUGUUUAAGCAAUAUCUUAGUAAGUAAGGAGCUCCUGCCGAAGUAUACUUAUGGUUUCCGUUUGCAAAGAUGGUUUCAAAGGAAAUGGGCAAAAGAAAAAUAUUGAAAUAACAAACUGGAAUUCCACAAAAACCCUGCAGUGGAUAUAGCAGUACCAACAGGAAGCGUCGGGGGCUGUGAUUUAAGUUUCAUACCUGAGGACAGAAAAAUGUAAGAUUGCGUUAAUGCUGAGAAACAAAUGCCAAAUCUGCAUUAUUUGAUGUUUUGCUUAACAAGCAAAGUCAGUUGUUUCAAUUUUUAUAAAGCAAAUCAUUCGAGAAAGAAUUGAAAUGGAGCCCUAUGAAUGCAAACUGAUUGAUUAAUUUUUUGCUCAAUUGUCAGAACUAAGCAUGAACUUCCUUCAUAAGAAGCUGUCUCAGCCCCUGACAAUAUUAUUACUGAUACCAGUUAUUUCUUUCGCUCAAAGUCAAUAUUUGUGGUGGUUUUCUUCUUUUAGGGGAGGAGAGGGGGCAAGAAUUUUUUGUUUUACUACAAAUCCAUUUUUUAACAAGGGUGAAAACCCAGAGUUUGCAUUCAGUGAAAAGGACACUGCCGUUUUAUUUGGUUCUACACCAACUAGCUAUAUUCUGCAACUUUAUAGUUUUGUCACCAGCAACUCAUACCUGUACGUUAGUUUAUUGCUGAAGGUGGAUUACUGGAUGAACAAUAUGAAGAAAUGGGCAUUCAUUCAGUCCCAGUGUAUAAACUUCAGAAGAGGCAGGAAGAUCUGCGUGCAUUUCUGGCUCACACAGUCAAAAUUCAUGAUAGGAAACAGGCGCUGAAGAGAAACCAGCACUUGCCAGACUACAUGUGCUUUUAUAAAACUUGGUAUUUUAUUGCAUUUACUUCACAUACUGUACUCAUUACCAGUCUUGUGAGGAAAUUCAGCCCUUUGUCAAUAUUCAGUGAAAAAGACGAAGUCCAUCUGCCAACAGAGCAUGGAGGGAAUGUGUACGAGUGAAAUAGUAAUGCAAAGAUUGGGUAUGUGGAAAGGAAAGAAUCUGAUUUAUUUUUAAAGAGCAGAAUUACUGGUAGAUGAUGAAUUCAGUGGAAGUCAGCUAGAACCUGUUGUACACCAAGAACUGAACAUCCAUAACUAGAGAACAUUUGACUUAAAAGGUUGUAUGGAAGAGGCGCUCCAGUAACACAGUGUUACUUGUCAGUCAAGCAGGAGUCACUACUAACAGUACUGAUCAAUGGAUUUUGUAUUUAAUGCAUAUUAGAAUGGGAAAAACAGCUCUGUGACACAGGAUUCGUUACAUUAGUAGUACGAUGGACUGACUUUACAGUGUAGUCAUCUUUUGGACUAUCUUAGAUUUAGCCAAAUACUUCUGUUAGCCUUUCUACAGUUUCAGAUGUUCCUUGAUCAAUGUGUGAUAUCAAUUACCUCCCAUGUCAUCCCUUCCUGUUUUCUUCACUAUUAAAAAUCCUUCUGAAUUUCCCUUCUAAAUCAGAGGGUUUCAUCCUUGGAAGCAGCUUCUGCAACAGAGAUCAAGGCAACUUUCAGUGAGUCACAAGGUAAGGUACAGGAUGUUUAGAUGCCAGCUCCAUGUUCUGUCUUCCUCUUGUUUCCCCUCUGUAUCACAGGCUGAUACCCCCAGCCCCAUAAUGCGUCUGUGCAUUCUUCAGCUCAGUGGGGCGGCUGUUUAUUCUGUCAUGGGCAAUGGGAGAAAGCAAGCCAUGAGGAUAAGAGUAACACAGUCUGUUGAGUGAGUUUUCUUCAAUGUCUCCCUCUGAAUGUGCGAACCCUUGUGGCUGGAGGUUGUCCAGCUUUUUUGUCUGCAGCACCUCUGCACCCACAGAAUAUUCACAGCAGAACAACUGAAUCCUCAGCCAGUAUCAUUCUAAUAUCACCCUCAGUAACUGCCCUUCACUCUCUCAUUCUCCCGUGUUCCUAGUAUUGUUGCUGUUACCAGCAGCUCAACUAACAUCAGAAAUCUGAGAGGUAAGGGAGGUGGUGUAAGGGGUCCACCAGGCAGGGGAAGGAGAAGCAGCUGUCCUUCUAAGGGAAGGCUGUUAAGAUCAGCAAGGUAAGAACCUUAUGUUUUAGCAUGUUUAUGUAUUUAAUUCAAAAUGGCAGUGAGAUUCUCAACAAUUAAAACAGCAGAUUGUAUGGGGAAUAUUAUUCUUGGCAUCUCACAGGAAAAAUUGCAGGAAGGACAGCUGUAGAAAUUGCAAAAGAAACCUAAAGAACCAAAUGAAGGAUUAAAUGUUGUUUAGUUGCUAUGCUAUGGAUUUCUGUUGUAAGGAUAUUAAUGUUGUUAAAUUCCAAUUUAACUCUGUAGGAUGAAACAAGCACAUAAGGAAUUGGGAAGAAUAUUUUUUUGCUCUUUUGAAAGAUUAACUACUGCUUUCUAUAAUCUGCAAAGACUUGCAGGAGGGAAAAUGCAAAGCACAGCAUCCAACAUAUUAACAUGCUAAUUUAGAGGGAAUGUAAAAAGUAGUUUCACUUGCUUGCAUCUUCAUGUUGCUCUCUUACAGAACCUGUUAAGCAAGGCCUGGCCCUGGCACAGUUAGCAACCCUGGGGGGAACCUACCUUAGCAAUUGCAUGGCAGCCCCUCAUGAACAAUGUGGGACUAAUACAGAUCAAGGGCAGGAUGACAGAUACUGCGAUCAUCCUGCUUAUGAAAUGCAACAUUUAAUAAGCAAUCAUAAAGUAGCAGGGAAGAUUUAAACAGAAGUUGGAGAGAGGCUUGGGAGUGCUGUGUUUUGCAUGUGUGCUCCGUGGGAGUGUGUUUAUCCUAAUGGGAGGCUUGGGAGUGCUGCGUGCUGUGCCAUGCCAUACAGCCACUUGGCUUUGCGGCUGAAAGCAGCCGUGCUGGUUUGGUGAAGCAGCUGAGAGCUAAAGUAUGUGCCUUGUGUUCUGUUUGAUUGCUGUAGCUUGUGCUGCAUUCUCGUGGGGUGGUUAACAUGCCAGCCUCUAAUGCUUGUAACUGUACUCUGUCUUCGUGGUGCUCCGAGAGCUGAUUCUGUAACUGCUGUACUGUGCUUCACCAUGAUAUAUAUAUAUAUCAUUAUUUCAGGGAACAGUUGUUCCGACUAGAAAUAUGAAAAAAAUGUUUUAUGUUCUAUUUUGAGCAUUUAAUAUCCCCAAGAACAGUACCUCUAAAUAAUCUCUCGAACUUUAGCUGCUCUGUGGCUUCAAGUGAUUUCACUGUCCUUUUCAGUCCUUAUGUGAGGGCACUCCUCCAGCAUCACUGCUUACAUCCUGGAGAGCUCAGUUCAGAGCAUUUUGAGAGGAGUGAUCAGAAAUAAUAAGUGGGAAAACAAACAAAAUGCAACAGACCUGAGGAGUUCACGUGCAUGUCUUUGGAACGAACAAAUACCUUUUCAAGAAACUAAGGGCAAGAUGUUCUUCCUUGAGCUUCCAAGAGCUUCUUUGCUUUCCCGUUCUGAUUCACAAGGAGGAGAUGAUCUCGACAGAAAAAAUAUGGUCUUCGGUAGAGUAUAUGGUACGUCUCUAAAAGUACAGUACACAGGGAAGCUGUAAGAACAUCUGUGCCUUUGUGUAAAGAGCUAACGUUUUACAACUUGCUACAAGAUAAGUAGGAUUCUGACACUCAGCAUCAAAUAUGUUAGAAACGACAUUGAUGCAUAAAUUGCAUUUUCCAACUUUGGAAGAGAUGCUAAAGGAAGGAAAAUGUUGAAUGAGCAGAAGUUGAUACUGUGUCGGAAAUUUAUGGAUAGUAUGUCUUACCUUUUCAUGAAAAUCUGACAUUCAUAGCAUUUACUACCUUGAAAUAAAACGACGUGAGCAGCAACAGCCAAUUGUAAAAGAAACCCCACUGCUUCCAGAUAAAUUUAAAGAGCUACUCCCACUCUUCAAAGGUUUUCUGACAUGAAAGGCUCCAGCAGAAGAACAUAUGUGGGAUAACAAAGCUCAGUAGAAACCAACUAUCUGAAAAAGAAGGUGAGUCGCUAUUAGAAUUCUAUAGCAGAAUGGUAACAAUUUUGGCAUGGGUUUACUAUGACACACAAUACAAGGAAAAAAAAGAUUUUUCUUGUUGUAUAAGAACACAGUAUAUCACAAAGUAGAUCUUUGCUAAAUUAGUUUUAAAAUAAUGUGAAGUAUGGUUCUUGUAAAGCAGUAGAAAUGCUGGCUUUUUUCAUACUUUGUUUUACGCUUACUGUCAAAACUUACAGCAGUUUUUACAGGUUCUUUCCUCAAAGCUUGCAAGAAAUGUAGGAAUAUUCUGAAAGCACUGCAUCAGUGAAAAACUAUUUUUCUUCACUGCAUUAUAAGUUAAAUGCACGGUAGAUUUCGAAAGGAAAUGUGUAAAGUGAGGGCUACUGCUUACCAUUAUUCUUUAAGUUAAUGAAAACGUAUAUGAUCGAGUUACUUGUAUCAUGUAGAUUAGUAAGUUUCUAUGAGAACCUCAAAUGAAUUCAAUCAGUAUUUAUGCACGUAUAUUCAAAGUCACUUAAGAUUGUUUUCUUUCCUCUCAUAGGUGACAGCUGGGAAUCCUGCAUCUAAGAAAUGCUGCAAUCAGGAUUCAGCUUUUAUAGGCUCUCGGAAAAGGAGAGAUGCUCUGGUAUCCACCUUGGGCUGAGACUGAGAUUCCCAAAUUCUAACAUGUGUUGAAGCAAAGCUGUGUGUAGAUAAUUCCUGAGUAGCCAAGCAGAUUGUCCUGGCUGAUACUGAAAGCUGUUGGUACAGCAACUUCUACUACUGCUACCUACAGUGACGGCAGUGGGUAGUGAGCAAGAUGGAUUUGGGAACCACCAAGCUGGAUGUGUUUAUUCAACUGCUGACUGAGGUAAUGUGUUCUUACUUUAGUUGAAGAAGAACAAGAGAACACUAAUGAGCAUGGAGAAUAUACAGAAGUUAAUGAAAGCAACAUAAAUAGGUGGUGGAAAAAGAUAAGCCCUGUUAGCUGGGUGAAAAGGGAACUAGAGACCAUGGCCUGAGCAUACAAAAUGUAUUUGGUGUUUUUUUUCCCUGUUUUCCUGACAAAUACAGCAAGAACUAAAUGCUGAGGAGAAAAAGCGCCAUAGAAACAAAUAGCUAGGGACAUCUUUGCUUAAUAUGAACUUCCAGUGGAAACUGAAAAGUGGAGCAGCUAGCAUUAACCAUUUUUUAACACAGCUAUUCAAAUCUUGUUGAAUUACACAACUUGUAUUGAAAUAAAUAGGAACUGCUGGUCCUGAGUUUUAUUACAAAUUAGGCCACUUGAGAAAUAGUUGCAUAACUGGUCUGAAAUAAGUAAUUGCUGUAAGUCUGUAAGUUUAGAUGUUGCUGAAGUUUAAGCGGGUGGCUUAGUCUUCAGUACUUUUUUGCUUUAUUAUUAUUCAAGUAUGCAUCAAAUUUCUGUAAUCACUUUCUCAAAGAGCCUUAGAAUUGUCUACUGACACAAGUGAUCUGAAACAAUUUGAGCAAGUGGGAAGCACACCAUUAGCACAUCCCGUGGUCCGUAGCUUACAAAACAGUAGUUCAAACUUCAGGACAUCUAGUACCAAAACAAAAACAUCGUGAUCUAGCGGCUGAAUCAGUAUAAACUCAAGCUGUCAAUACAACAUUGUUCAAAUGGGUUGGUCAUUAAUUUGUGGGACAGGUAACUUCAAGCUGUCUGGCUUUCUGUGGUUCUGCUGUUGUGUGCCUGACUCGACCUUUCCUAGUUUGCCCAGAUUUCUUUUUAAUAGCUCAUUUUUGUCAUUCUCACUUUCUAUGCUCAGAUAUAUUGUUUAAGUUUUCAGAUUCCCUAUCCUCAUUCCUUUUUUCAUUGGAUACUCACAGAACAUUCACUCAACAGAUUUUAUUAUCUUUGUCACAGAUCCUGACCUAUCCAAAUGUUCAGAAACUUGUGAUCACCUCCUUUUUGUUGUUGUUUUUAAUCGUCUUUUUUUUCCUUUGGCCUCUGUAUGAGCUACAUAGCUGCAGUUGCCACAUCUUUAUGACGUGCUCUGUCUCUGUGGCUCUAAACAGAGGCUGUACCAUCUGCCUCCUUCUGGUCUGGCCUGAUACUUUCCUCUCUUUGGAACUGCCCAACUCAAUUUUGAAGAAGGAAAUGCAAAUGACUUGGACAUCAAUUCUGGUCAAAAACUGGUGGUAAACUAAAGCCAUGUGUGAAAAGUUGGCAUUUCUCUUUUCCCCAACUAAUUGUUAAUCAUGUGACAAAUUGGAGAUGGUGUAUCAGAGGGGAUAGGAUUUUAGCUCAGGAGAGUGAAGCUCUGUCUCUAGACAUUUCCCAUAACAGUGAGAUUUUCUGUCAGCUACAGCAGCCAUCACUUCUCUCUCCACAAAUUCAGUAUGCCCACGCAUGCCUUCUAUAGUAGCAACUCUGUCACCUUCUUGUCAUCCUAAGAAUGAGCAGACUUGACUCUAUCAGCAAGCAGCCUUGAUAGCCUAUCUGGAUACACUGUGCAUUUUUUCUGGCUGGAAGGCUAGCAAAUCACUUUUUAUGGGAACUUUGGAGUGGCAAGGAUAGUCUUUUGGGGCAUAUUUUCUUGCCCAAAGAGUAUUGGGUGAACUGCUAGGAACAAAAACUAUAUGCCUUAGCCAAAAGAAGAAAUUGCUCUUCAGAGGAUUGGAUACAUGGGGACAGGAAGAAAGAGAGAGAGAUGUGUUUAUCACAGAGAAAAGCUACCCAAUUGAGGAAAGUCUAGCAUGCUUCACUGUUUACCAUGAGCUCAGGGGACCAGAGAUCUUCUGAAGUGUGUAUCAUCUCCAGAAUUUCACUGGAUGCUUGCGUACU
ensembl:lncRNA